rnacentral:rRNA from 1 species
CGUAGGUGGCAAGCGUUGUCCGGAAUUAUUGGGCGUAAAGCGCGCGCAGGCGGUCCUUUAAGUCUGAUGUGAAAGCCCACGGCUCAACCGUGGAGGGUCAUUGGAAACUGGGGGACUUGAGUACAGAAGAGAAGAGUGGAAUUCCGCGUGUAGCGGUGAAAUGCGUAGAGAUGUGGAGGAACACCAGUGGCGAAGGCGACUCUUUGGUCUGUAACUGACGCUGAGGCGCGAAAGCGUGGGGAGCAAACAGGAUUAGAUACCCUGGUAGUCCACGCCGUAAACGAUGAGUGCUAAGUGUUAGAGGGUUUCCGCCCUUUAGUGCUGCAGCAAACGCAUUAAGCACUCCGCCUGGGGAGUACGGCCGCAAGGCUG